UUUUACAAGACUUCAAUAAAUAAAUAGGGGCUUUUUCACAUUCAGCUGCAGGUACUGAGGACCUGCAUGUAUUGAUCACUUACACUUAUCUGUCUGGAGUGGUAUAUAAACUUCACAUGUCUCAUAGACAUACACCACAUAACUCAUUUUAUUUCACCAGUUAAAUAUAUGUCAAGAUUGUUCAUGAUCAUAGAAUGACACUUGAGUUAAUUAUCAGGCAAUUACCUUUCAUUGUUCCACUUAUUAAUAUUUACCACACAAUUUUGGUAGUUCACUGUAAUGUUCCCAAUUUAAAGUUUGACAGACUAUGACAAUAACUGUAUGUGUAAAAAAAAUACUUAAAAUUUAUGCAUUUCUUUUUUCUAUAUGACAGAUAAUAAGCAGGGCAUGAACGAAGUAUGGAGGAUCUGUUUGAAAAUUCCAGACAUGAGAAAGAAAAUGACAGGGAGAGAUGUCCAGUUCAACGUUACCAGGACAAUUCAGCAAAGUUCUAACAGAUAUAAAAAAUCUGAACUUGAGGCAAAUAUAUACUGUCAUGUAUAUACAUGUAUAUAAGAUGGAUAAAGGACAUGAUACUUUAGCAGUGCUUCAGAGAAUCACAUUUGGCUACAGAAGUUUGUAGUAUUUUGGUUGUAAUCAAGUUAUUAAGCUGAAGCUUCAUAGUAAAACAGAUCUAGGCUACACCUUCACUAUUCAAGUCAGACUUUAAAAGGAAGCCUUUUUUGUUGAUAGCUGAACAUAUGAAGAAACUUUCAAAAGAGUGGAGCAUUUAGAAGACGGAACAAUCAAAUAUUAUUUGUUACUAUUUCAGUAACUUUUCAAAUGUUAACUGUUUAGAAUAUUCUUAAAUAUAAAUAUAAUUGAAUUUAAUGUGGAAAGUGUUUUGUUUUUUUUAACAUUUGGUAACAUAUGCCUCUGUUAGGCACAAUUUUUUAAUCAUAAGCUGAUAAUUUUUAGAUUUGUCAUGGUAAACCUGCAAGGGACACAACUCUUGUAGAAUGAACAUUGUUAAAUAGCUAGUCUGUAUUGAAUUGUUGUUUGGUAUACAUUUGGUUUUGCAUUAUUUUUUUUGCAAUUUCGAAUUCGACUUCUUUUCAAACAUUGUAUAAAUUUAAAAUGUAGCUGACUUUGACAUUGGUAUUCGUACUUUUAGAUUUUUUAUGAAUUGUCAAACAAACGCAAUUAUAAAGCAAGAAUUUCAAACAAACAAAAAAAGAAAUACUAACAGGAAGAUUCGAAAGGUUUCAAACAUGUAGAAAUAGUCUCAUGGUUUAAAUAAGAUUUGGAUUUAUAUAUAUAUAUAUAAGUUUUAAUGGAUGCUAAACAUCCAGCCACAAAUAUUACAUACAUAUUCAGGAUGAUAACAGGUUAAUAAAACAUGCAUAUGAGGUAACUGAUAAUCAAUAUAAGACAAUUUAUUGAUGUAUAACUCACUUUUACAGUACUUUUACCAUAAAGAACCAGAGAAACAUCUUCAAAUAGAGAUGACCAAGAACAAAAAAUGAUAUGUC